GGCUGGUCCGAUGGCAGUGGGUUAUUAGAACUUAUUAACAUUAGUGUCACUAAAGUUGGUAUACCACCCCCCCCACUGCUAAAUUUGACUGGCUUAUA
rnacentral:Y_RNA from 1 species